GUAGGUAAGUUGAUAUCAAAGAUCCUCACCCAUGGGAAACCGUCACUAACAUCUCUUCCAGGUGAACCUGCGGAAGGAUCAUUACAGUGUUAAGGCUUCGGCCUCAUUCACACCCCUUGUUUAACCUCUGGUUUCUUUGGCGAUGUCAUGGACUCGUCAAACUUUAACUCUGAUAAUGCGAUAUUGUCCGAGUGAGAUUGAAUUAUCAAAACUUUCAACAACGGAUCUCUUGGUUCCAGCAUCGAUGAAG
rnacentral:misc_RNA from 1 species